rnacentral:rRNA from 1 species
GCAGAAUAAUAUGCUACCCUGAACAAGCUUGAUUCCAUCUGAUCUUGGAAGCUAAGCAGUGUUGGGCCUGGUUAGUACUUGGAUGGGAGACCGCUAAGGAAGAUCAGGUGCUGUAGGCA